rnacentral:lncRNA from 1 species
UGAACUUAUAAUGGUCGAGGAGAUGUGGAAAGUUUCCUUUGGGACACUGUCCAGUUGUAUAGAAGGUGGAGACCAUUGGCAGCCAAUGCUGAGAUAAUUCAAUGUAUGAUUUCUCAGAUGCCAUUAACUAUGAGAGAAUUUUUAGAAAAUAGAAAUUUCCCAACAGUCAACGAAGUUAUUAGAGCCGCCAAACAAUAUUUAUUCCGUCGAAGAAUGGAGCCGCCUCAACUGCAACGUCUGAAUACUACAAGAGAAACAAAUUCUCAGCAAGACAAUGUGGACCGAAAUCGACCAAGAAAUUCAAUGCAAAACCCGCAACGUAUACUGAACAAUAAUAGAGCAUCGACUAUCCAG